UACAGAGGGUGCAAGCGUUAAUCGGAAUUACUGGGCGUAAAGGGAGCGUAGGUGGCUCGAUAAGUCAGAUGUGAAAUCCCCGGGCUCAACCUGGGAACUGCAUCUGAUACUGUUGAGCUAGAGUAUGUGAGAGGAAGGUAGAAUUCCAGGUGUAGCGGUGAAAUGCGUAGAGAUCUGGAGGAAUACCGAUGGCGAAGGCAGCCUUCUGGCAUAAUACUGACACUGAGGCUCGAAAGCGUGGGUAGCAAAC
rnacentral:rRNA from 1 species